UCCAUUAUUAGAUCCAAAACAUUUUUGUUCACAAAACCUAAGUCAUCAGAAUUUUCUCCCUGGUGUGCCAAAGUCAUAAAAUAUCUCUCUACACGCCGAUCUAGCUCUACGUUCUCUCUCCAGAUCUGCCGUCGAUCCACACCGAUCCGCCGCCGUCAUAACCAGAUCUGAACCACCGAUCCUCUCUCUCUCUCUCUCUUUAUCUCCGAUCGUGAACCACCAAUCUGAAUCAGAUCGUGAACCAUUGACUUCGCAGAGAACUCCGUCGCCGGCGGUGGUGUUGAUCGGAGGUGCGAUGUUGAUUUAGAUUUGCAAGCUUAGACUCAAAAUACAUGAUUGCCAUAGGAAAUACAUCAUUCCAAAGUUUGGCAGAUUAUGGCGCUCACACGAAUCUGAACUAUCACAAAAAAUAAGACCUUUUGGUAAAAGUGCUAAGCUAGCCACAAUAUUGUCCUCACCAAACCUGAUAAUGUAGAAAUGGUUGAAUGGAAAGCAUUUGUGAAACAAUGAACUUCCAAAGAAUUUAAGGCAAAGAGUAAAAGAUUUAGGGCAAUGAGGAAAAAGCAAAUCCUCUUACACACCAUGAGUCGUAAAGGUUAUGCAUGAUUAGAGGAUGAAAUGAUAAAUUUAAGAGUGAUUCAAGUAGUUUUUUUCCUUUAGUUAUCAUUUUUUUUUUCAUUUUUUUCUUCAGUCUGAUUUACGAUUUCAGCUGAAAAUUAAUUGUGCAUUCAGAUUGUAUUUUGUGUAGAAGUUUCGUGGGAUUUUCUCAGUUAGGAACAGGGUUUCUUCGUCCUUUUUUUUUAGGUAAUGUAUACUAUUUUGUUGGACCAUUAUUUCUUUGUUAUUUUUAUGUAUGGUUUGUUAUGCGAAAUAUUGCUUUAAAUUUUUCUCCGUU